CCUACCCGGGCCUUGCCAGGCCGUGAACCCCACCCGGGACUUGCCAGUCCUUCGUGGUUUCUGCAUGGGAUUGGCAAAUCUGGAGGAGGUUUUCCGAGAGAAAGGCCAGUGGGGAAGCGAUGGAAGACUGGCUGGUGCAGAGAGUAAUCAGGAGCUCUGAGUUGAAGACAGAGUCUGGUUCUGGACAGCAGAAAUGUCUUCUGUUCUCUUUGAAGGCGGAGUCGCCUUAGCCUAGGCUUGUACUGAAUUUGCUAUGUAGACAAGGAUGAUCUUGAACUCCUGAUUCUCCUGUUCUACCUCCAGAUCACUGGGAUUAUAGCCAUGUGUCACUAGGCCCAGUUUUAUGUCCUAUGGGAGAUCUAACACAGGGUCUCAUGCAUGAUAGGGUAACCACUCUGCCAACUAAGUUACAUACCUAGCCCCUAUUCACACCUUUUAAUAUUUAAAACCUUUAUCAGUUAAUGGGAUUUAAAAAAAAUCUCCAUGUUAAAAAGAUUUAUUUUAUUUUGUUAUCUGUGUUUGUCUGUGUGUAUGUAUGUGUACCACAUGUGUGUAGUAUGCACGGAGGCCGGAAGAUGGUGUUGAAUCUCCUAGAACUAGAGUCAGGUGGUUGUGAAUGUCCAUGCGGGUGAUGGGAACUGAACCCAGAUCCUCUGCAAGAGUAGCAAGUGCUCUUACCCAUUAAGCCUUCUGUGGUGGUUUGAAAGAAAAUGGCUAUUGGGAGGUGUAGCUUUGUUGGAGUAGGUACAGCCUUGUUGGAGGAAGUGUGUCACUGUGAAGACAGGCUUUGAGGUCUUGCUUAAGCGUCCUUCAGUGUCACAGUCUCCUUCCCGCUGACCGCAAGAUGUAGGACUCUCAGGUACUACUCCAGCACCAUGUCUGCCUGCACUCUGCCAUGCUCCCUGUCACGAUGGUAAUAAACUGUAAACAAGCCACCCCAAGUAAAUGUUUUCUUUAUAUGUGCUUCCGUGGCCAUAGUCUCUUCACAGCAAUAGAAACCCUAACUAAGACACCAUCUUUGCAAUCCCUAGGUCCCCAUUUUAAAGAAGUUGACCGUAGAGGAGUGAUAGUCUAAGUUUGAUUAAGCAGGCUAAGUUAUAGUUAUAGUUAUAUAUUUAUAGUUAUAGUGAAAACUAUAACUCUGGCUGACCUGGAACUCAUCAUUAACUGUUUUUGAAUUCACAGAGAUCUGCUGGCUCUUGUUCUCACUCUUUGAUGAACUUGAUUUACCUGUUUAGUAUGGACAAUGUGGUCCUGAGAGUGUGGACUGGCAAUAUCCCAGCGAAACACAAAGCACUCCCAAGAGCCUUGAAGAAGGUUGGGAAUGUGCUAGAAACUCCUGAGUGUUAUUUCCCAGUGAACCCACCCCCAGGGGCAUGCCUGUGAGGGAGUUUUUAGACUCGGUUAGCUGAGGUGGGAAAGUCCAUGCUAACUGUGAGUCCUGACGGAAUACAGAGAAAGUGAGCUGAGUUCCAGCUCUCAUCUCACCUGCUUCCAGAUGACAGACGCAGUGUGAGCAGCUCUUGCCACCACCAAAGGUAGCCUUGAACCACGAGCUGGGAUGACUUCUCCUUCCCGUAAGUUGCUUUGGUCAGCAGUGAGACCAGUGAGUAAUACACAAGGCAUAUUGGUUGGUUCCCUUUCUCUAGUAUAUCAUGUACAGGAAUAUAUGAUUUCUUACUACCUAUCUGAACUAUAAUUUUGUCCUUUGACGACUUCACACAUAUAUAUGAUGUACCAAGUUAAUAAUACAAAAUUAUAAAAUAUUACUACAAUUGCUUUUCUUUCUUUUUCUUUUUUUUUUUUUUACCCCACUCCCAAUCCUGCCAGUUCUCCUUCUUCCCUGUAAACCUCUUUCCUGUAUGUAUGAGGUGGUUUGUGUGUGUGUGUGCCCCACUGAGUUUUAACAGUGGCGUCAGUUUGAAACUAUUUAUUGGAGUCUGGUGUGCUCAGCAGCGGGCACACAAUUGAAUGCUAUGCCUCCCUCUCUCCCAGAAUCUGUUGGCUGCCAAGAUGAAAAUUGCGAAAAUUUUAUUCUAUGUCACUUUCCCCCAAUUGGUUUCUCAUUAGGAAUGGUUUUGGAUUUUCUCAUGUUUUUUAAAAUGAGGUUGAUUUACUAUUGAUCUUUGUGAGCUUCCAAAUACCUCACUAGGUCCUCAGUGUCAUCAUGCCUGAACAUUUGCAUUGAGGGGCACAUGUAUACUCUUAAAUAAGAGACUGCUUUUGUCCUUGCUGCCAUAGUUGGAGUCGUGAGAGAUACCUGCAUCUGUAAGCUACACUGUCAACAAAGUUACUUCAUGAUCCUAAAAAGACACAAAAGUGUCAGUUUGGUUUUCUUUCUUUCUUUUUUACACAGGAAUCCCAGUUUCCCCUUCCCACUGCCUCCACCUUUUCCUCACCCCAGUUCCAUCUGCUCCUCAGAGAGGGUAAGGCUCCCACGAGGAGUCAAGAAAUUUUGUCAGGAGGCCUCGGUCCUACCUCAACCUGGGGAUGUGCUGACUCAGAGAUUGUGUUGGGUGAUGCUCUUCAGAUCCAACCAUAGCAAAAUAUCUGCUUCCCCAGGCUGACAAGCAACUCUCCGAGGCUGGCCUGCAUCCAGGGCAGUUUAAGGCGGUGGAGACUUGAUCUUUCACUGAAAGAAUGAGACAAGAGUGCUUGGCCAUCACGACUGAUGUGUCCUGAGUGGCGCCAGUCACAUUUCCCAUCGAUGGCAUCUCCUGGUCUCCCUCGAUUGAAAACAAAGUUGUGCUGCUCAAGAGAAAGGAUUGAAUUACAUGAAAACAGCGACUUUAUCCCUGGAAAUAGCCGUGCCUUUCUCUUUGGGUUCUUGAAACUCAAAACUCCAGCCAGAAUUAUAGUCUAGAAAUAGAAUAAAAACAGAAUGAACUAUAUAAAGCAAUAGACAACUUGGUUAGAGGCAGGUAUCUAGUUGUUUAAGUUAGAAACACAAAUUUAACACAUGUCACUAUUUAAAUUUAUGUUACGAAAUUGAUCAUUUUCAGGACAAGAGUAAAGUGCCAGGGACUUCUGUGGGCGGUGACACGCCUCUCCUGGAAACCUGGAUUCUCAGGGGGACUGGAUGAGGAUGGGGUUUGGUAGGCAGAGCACUGAGCUUCUCCCUGCUCACACACAUUUUGGGUAUUAAUUAGUCUUGAUAGGGAACUCUUUUCUGGAAGCCAUAGAAGCCAUUGUGCAGUGGCAUUUUGUUGAAUUCAAGCAAGCACAGCAGUUAGUAUUUUCAGCACCUGUAUGUAACCUAAAUCUCUAUUAUUAUUAUUUUUUGAAAAUUUGUGAUUUUUAUUUAACUCUUUUUUUCUAUUUUUUAAAAAAAAUUUGUUGAGCUCUACAUUUUUUUCUGCUCCCCUCCCUGCCUCUCCCCUCCCCUUCAGCCCUCUCCCAAGGUCCCCAUGCUCCCAAUUUACUCAGGAGAUCUUGUCUAUUUCUACUUCCCAUGUAGAUUAGAUCUAAGUAUGUCUCUCUUAGGGUUCUUAUUGUUGUCUAGGUUCUCUGGGAUUGUAAUUUGUUGGCUGGUUUUCUUUGCUUUAUGUUUAAAAACCACUCAUGAGUGAGUACAUGUGAUAAUUGUCUCUCUGGGUCUGGGUUACCUCACUCACAAUGAUAUUUUCUAGCUCCAUCCAUUUGCCUGCAAAAUUCAAGAUGUAAAAAUUUGUGAUU